AAUCAACGCUGGCGGCGUGCCUCAGACAUGCAAGUCGAACGAUUAAAGCUCUCUUCGGAGAGUGUAUAGAGUGGCGCACGGGUGAGUAACACGUAAGUAAUCUACCUUUGAGUGGGGAAUAACCCGGGGAAACCCGAGCUAAUACCGCAUAAUGCAGCGGCACCGCAAGGUGACAGUUGUUAAAGGAGCAAUCCGCUUAAAGAGGAGCUUGCGGCAGAUUAGCUAGNGGUAAGGUAAUGGCUUACCAAGGCUUCGAUCUGUAUCCGGCCUGAGAGGGCGGUCGGACACACUGACACUGAAUAACGGGUCAGACUCCUACGGGAGGCAGCAGUCGGGAAUUUUGGGCAAUGGGCGAAAGCCUGACCCAGCAACGCCGCGUGAAGGAUGAAGUAUUUCGGUAUGUAAACUUCGAAAGAAU
rnacentral:rRNA from 1 species